UGGCGAACGGGUGAGUAAUACAUCGGAACGUGUCCUGUAGUGGGGGAUAGCCCGGCGAAAGCCGGAUUAAUACCGCAUACGACCUGAGGGAGAAAGCGGGGAUCUUCGGACCUGGCGCUAUAGGGGCGGCCGAUGGCAGAUUAGCUAGUUGGUGGGGUAAAUGCCUACCAAGGCGACGAUCUGUAGCUGGUCUGAGAGGACGACCAGCCACACUGGGACUGAGACGCGGCCCAGACUCCUACGGGAGGCAGCAGUGGGGAAUUUUGGACAAUGGGGGCAACCCUGAUCCAGCAAUGCCGCGUGUGUGAAGAAGGCCUUCGGGUUGUAAAGCACUUUUGUCCGGAAAGAAAACCUCGUGGCUAAUAUCCGUGAGGGAUGACGGUACCGGAAGAAUAAGCACCGGCUAACUACGUGCCAGCAGCCGCGGUAAUACGUAGGGUGCGAGCGUUAAUCGGAAUUACUGGGCGUAAAGCGUGCGCAGGCGGUCUGUUAAGAUCGAUGUGAAAUCCCCGGGCUUAACCUGGGAACUGCAUUGGUGACUGGCAGGCUUUGAGUGUGGCAGAGGGGGGUAGAAUUUCACGUGUAGCAGUGAAAUGCGUAGAGAUGUGGAGGAAUACCGAUGGCGAAGGCAGCCCCCUGGGCCAACACUGACGCUCAUGCACGAAAGCGUGGGGAGCAAACAGGAUUAGAUACCCUGGUAGUCCACGCUCUAAACGAUGUCAACUAGUUGUUGGGGAUUCAUUUUCUUAGUAACGUAGCUAACGCGUGAAGUUGACCGCCUGGGGAGUACGGUCGCAAGAUUAAAACUCAAAGGAAUUGACGGGGACCCGCACAAGCGGUGGAUGAUGUGGAUUAAUUUGAUGCAACGCGAAAAACCUUACCUACCCUUGACAUGGUCGGAACCCUGCUGAGAGGUGGGGGUGCUCGAAAGAGAACCGGCGCACAGGUGCUGCAUGGCUGUCGUCAGCUCGUGUCGUGAGAUGUUGGGUUAAGUCCCGCAACGAGCGCAACCCUUGUCCUUAGUUGCUACGCAAGAGCACUUUAAGGAGACUGCCGGUGACAAGCCGGAGGAAGGUGGGGAUGACGUCAAGUCCUCAUGGCCCUUAUGGGUAGGGCUUCACA
rnacentral:rRNA from 2 species